rnacentral:rRNA from 1 species
GAUGAACGCUGGCGGCGUGCUUAACACAUGCAAGUCGAGCGAGAAGUUUUGAAAAGAUUCUUCGGAUGAAAUUUAAAAUGGAAAGCGGCGGACGGGUGAGUAACGCGUAGGCAACCUGCCCCAUACAAAGGGAUAGCAUUUGGAAACGAAUAUUAAUACCUUAUGAAACUUAACUAGUGCAUGCUAGGUAGGUCAAAGAUUUAUCGGUAUGGGAUGGGCCUGCGUCUGAUUAGCUAGUUGGUGAGGUAACGGCUCACCAAGGCGACGAUCAGUAGCCGACCUGAGAGGGUGAACGGCCACAUUGGAACUGAGACACGGUCCAAACUCCUACGGGAGGCAGCAGUGGGGAAUAUUGCACAAUGGGGGAAACCCUGAUGCAGCAACGCCGCGUGAACGAUGAAGGCCUUUGGGUCGUAAAGUUCUGUUCUAGGUGAUGAAAACUGACUGUAACCUAGGAGAAAGCCCCGGCUAACUCCGUG